rnacentral:rRNA from 1 species
UACGAAGGGGGCUAGCGUUGUUCGGAUUUACUGGGCGUAAAGCGCGCGUAGGCGGACAUCUAAGUCAGGGGUGAAUCCCAAGGCUCAACCUUGGAACUGCCUUUGAUACUGGAUGUCUGGAGAUCGGGAGAGGUGAGUGGAAUUCCGGGUGUAGAGGUGAAAUUCGUAGAUAUUCGGAGGAACACCAGAAGCGAAGGCGGCUCACUGGCCCGAUACUGACGCUGAGGCGCGAAAGCGUGGGGAGCAAACAGG